rnacentral:rRNA from 1 species
GUGCCAGCCGCCGCGGUAAUACCGGCAGCCCGAGUGAUGGCCGCUGUUAUUGGGCCUAAAGCGUCCGUAGCCGGCCAGACAAGUCUGUUGGGAAAUCGACGCGCUCAACGCGUCGGCGUCCGGCGGAAACUGUUUGGCUUGGGGCCAGAAGACUCGAGGGGUACGUCCGGGGUAGGAGUGAAAUCCCGUAAUCCUGGACGGACCACCGGUGGCGAAAGCGCCUCGAGAAGAUGGACCCGACGGUCAGGGACGAAAGCUAGGGUCUCGAACCGGAUUAGAAACCCUUGUAGUCC